AUUGAACGCUGGCGGCAUGCCUUACACAUGCAAGUCGAACGGUAACAGAUCUUCGGAUGCUGACGAGUGGCGAACGGGUGAGUAAUACAUCGGAACGUGCCUAGUAGUGGGGGAUAACUACUCGAAAGAGUGGCUAAUACCGCAUGAGAUCUACGGAUGAAAGCAGGGGAUUGCAAGACCUUGUGCUACUAGAGCGGCCGAUGGCAGAUUAGGUAGUUGGUGGGAUAAAAGCUUACCAAGCCGACGAUCUGUAGCUGGUCUGAGAGGACGAUCAGCCACACUGGGACUGAGACACGGCCCAGACUCCUACGGGAGGCAGCAGUGGGGAAUUUUGGACAAUGGGCGCAAGCCUGAUCCAGCAAUGCCGCGUGCAGGAUGAAGGCCUUCGGGUUGUAAACUGCUUUUGUACGGAACGAAAAGCCCUGGGUUAAUACCCUGGGGUCAUGACGGUACCGUGAGAAUAAGCACCGGCUAACUACGUGCCAGCCGCCGCAGUAACAC
rnacentral:rRNA from 1 species